AGAGUGUCUGUGCUGGUUCUGCUGUUGAGAAAUACAGAUACUGGUGAGUUAUGCAGUGUGAGCUGAGAGUUUGGUGUGAACGUCUGAUUUUUUUUCUAACGUGGUCGUUUGAAGUUUGAUGUCUUCCUGACAACUUUACUUGGCUCUUCAUAGCAAUUUUCAUGUCUUGAAAAUAUGCAGGGGUUAGGUGGGGGAUGCUGGAUCAUGUUCUUUGAUAAGGGCCUGGGAUUCCUCUAGCAACAAGGACUCCUUUGUUACAGGCUGAUCUUGUGCUACCUUGGUGUGGGAGUGGUGAAGUCUGAAAUGGAUGGUGUCACUAAAUUAGUGACCACAUCAGAACUUCUCCAAUCUGCAUCGCUUCCAGACAAAUUAAGCUAUGUGUCAAGGCAAGGUCAUUUGGUGAUCGUGAGAAGCCAGUUAAUAUUAUUCUUAGACCACAAGGAAUUUCCACUUACUGUAAAGCUGUCAGGCUGUUCCUCUUCGCCCGUCAGUGGGGCUGCAGCUUUGCCACUGGACACACAGAGAACACUGCAGCAGUGUGUUGGGUGAUGAUACAGACCAUUAGCAGCAGCGUGCUGCUUGUGUGAGUUUCUGCAGGAGCAGCCUGGGUGUGGGACAGCUGUAAAGUGCUUUGUCAGGUUAAUGAGCAUAACGAAGUUAAGGUUUGCAGGAAACAUUUACUGUUAGCAGUCUAGCCACGUGUUCGCUCACCAUCUCAUAGAGGCCCGGAGUGCCAGCAGGUGAAUGUAACAACAUGUUGAGUCUUACCAUCCUAGAAGGAAGGGUACCAGCUGCUCAGCAGAGCAGCAGAAGUGUAGCAGGUUUGGUGUGUGCAGGUUUUCUGAUGAUGUAUCCAGUCAUUGAGAAAGCCAUCAAACACACUUUGUGUUGCUCUGUAGAGUGCUGGGAGCAGUUCUGAGCACAGCAGGAAAAUAAUGAAGACCUGUCAGAAAGCUGCAUUCUUGGGCAGUGUUUCCAGUGGGCAGCGUCACCUGACUGGGAGCUGUGACGUGCGUGGUCCAGAGGUGACGCAGAAUGUGUUUGCUGGGACAGGAGCCUUCAGGGUAGUCUGCUCAGGGCUCAGUGCUGGUAUGCUUUUGGGCGCAGGGGGGGAGCUUGGGGGAGCUGUAGGCACCAUCACAGGUCAGCCUGCAGGGAUGGACAAAGCCUUUCGUACGACAUGCUUUGUGAGCAGCUUGUGGACUGCAUGAAGGUCGCAAGGGAGUGUUGAAUCUCUGGAAGUGGCAGGGCAUGGAGGCACGGGGGAUGCAGGCUGGGUGCCGUCGGGCCUUGGGAGAACUGUUAAACUUGGAUACCAUACCAAGCGAAUGUUGCUGACUGUAGGAUUUAUAUUUUUGCUCCUGAGCACGAGGCCUGUGGAAGUUUGGAGCAUAAAUAAUUGCUAUCUCUCCAGCACGUGGACUCUGGCUCUGCGCUUGGCCCUGUGUCCCAGCCCCCGCUCCGCUCAGCAGGGUCAGGGAGAAGGGAGAAGGGGCGGUGUCUUUGGCUGACAUGAGCCCGCUGGGGAGGGAUGAGAGGAAGGGGGUCUUGGGGGCUGGGUUCAGAGCAAGGUUAGCCAAAUAUCGGAUAAAUUAAGCAAGAGAAACAGACAGCUCAGCUUGCAGUGAACUUUUCACCCAGCUAACCUGUUGCUCACCCUGCAUUGCACAGGUGGAGUACAACUCAAGUAGAGCACAACCCUGGCUUUCCCUGCCUCCUCUUUUGCUGUAGUGUGAGGCAUGGCCAAGAAGAGACCAGGAACUGAAAAGAGUUUGAUUUGCUGUUUUGAGUCCAGAAGAGAUCUGAUUGCUGUCUUAAGAGCACUGAAGUUAAUGCUAAUAAUGGCCACAGGGUUAGUUAGCAUUUGUUCCGGUGUAGAACCUCUACCAGUAAUUCCUGGUCAUAGGGAAUGGGGAAGAAAUUCCAUGCUGGAGAGGGCAAGGAACAAACAGUGCCUUAACAGGAAUGGUUAGAGAUUCUUUGUGGGAAGAUGCAAGGCUGGUGGGAAUUCAGUGAAUUCUGAUGUUUAUAUUUCUCUGACUUUUCAUCUGCAUUUGCAGUGCAAGUAAAUACAAAUGAUUGCUGACAGAUGUUGUAAAAACAUAGCAUUAUGCUAACCAUUAAGCUUAAUUUUGUUCUCAGUUACUAAUGCACGUGGCAUAGUAUGAUUCUUACUCACAUCACCUCUAUGUAAAUCAUGGACUUUCCUCCAGGGGUACGGAAUCCAGAACAGAAUUUAUUCUGUUGGACUUUUCUGAAAUCCUCACAGCUUCUUGUCCCAGGAACUCUGCAAGCAAAUGGAAGUUACUGGGCUGGCAGCUCUGUUGGAAAGGAACAUCCAUUUGAGUGCUUAAACCCUCAGAUGUAGCUCUCUGGCUUCCGGUCAGUGUUUUCAAAUUGGAACUCCUGUUCUCUGAUCUUCCUUUUCGCUCACGGUAGGUGAGGAAGGCCUGAAACCCACUGAAGUGCCUAUUGCACGGUAUUUCCAGGAGCUCAGCCCUGUAUUUCUGUGUGUGUGCCUAAAUUGCUUAAAACAGGGGUCUUUGCAGAGGCUUUGAAGAGCCUUUUAUCGGUAGUGAACUUUCAGAUGGUAAAUGCCAGGAGCUCUGUCUAAAAUGGAAGGAACAUUGUAUAAACGUAGAGAUAAGCUCUGACUUCAGGGAGCUGUGAGCCUUCCUGGAGCUAUGAGUGUUCUCAGCUCUGCCUGCUGCUCUGCUCACUGCAUCCUGCUCACAGCAGGAUGGCUUCCCUCCCCCAUUUUGGAUCUGGGAAGGAGGUCAAGUUUUUCUUGCUCUGCAUGUGCCUUUGAGUUCAUGUAGAGCUCCUCAGGCAGUGCGAGUUUACAUUAGGUGAUUGGCCACAAAGUAGUCCUGACAGAGUAUCCUUUGGUAUCCCAAAUUCCUGGGUGUUGAGGAAGGACAGGAGCUCAGACUGCCAUUACCACACAGUCCAGAUGUGCAUUCAGGCCAGCCCAGCGUUGGUGUAGGAUGGUGGGGAGCUGGUGAUGUGCCUUGGUGGUUCCAGAGCAGGGGUGGUUCACCCAGCGGGGGGGCAGGAAUGGCAGUGCUGUGGUGGAGCUCACAGUUAAGAGUUCACCAACUCCUCUCCUGCAAGGGAACAGGGGUGUCAUUCUGCUUUCUUCAAGUUCCAGUGUUUUGCCUGAUAGGUGGGAAAUAGAUGUAGGAUGGGUGCCGAAGUUUGGUAUUCCUAUUGACAGAAAGGGGCCGUAGGUCCCUUCUGUAGAUGGAGAAGAGUAGGGGUGUGUUAGAAGACGGGGUGGAGAAGGAGUAUGAACUGCAGUGUGGGUGCAGUGUAGUUUCUGGGCUUGCCUGUUGCAUCAGCCUGUUGCUGAUGCCACCGGUUACUUAGCAGGUUUUCUCCUCAUGCAGUUGUUUAAAAAGUAAAAGUAGCAGUUGAAAUCUGCACAAGGCAGCACUGCUCUCUGCUGCCCCUUCCCCUGCAAUGACAGAAGCAGUUAUGUACGUUUGGUGAACCCAGAGAACGGAUUCUGUUUAAAGUCAUGUUUUUGUUUGCUUGUUUGGGGCCCUUGAUUUGUUGUUCUGGUUUUGUUUUGUUCCCUUGGGAUGCCUCUGGCUGACUAAUUUUACAGCCUGUUGUUUUUCAAAUGCAGAUGUCACCACUGGGGAGAGAAUGGGGCAAGGACAAGUUCAGCAGUCACCAGAUAAGGAAGACCACUCUUUUUCCAUCAGUUUGAAGAGAUUUGGCAGAGUUUUAAGUAACACCAUAAUUUUCCUGAAGACGGAUUUGCUUGUACAACUUGCCAGCUAGAGCUUGUGCUGUCCACAAAAGUUCCUCCCUUUUAGACACAUUUGCAACACUUCCCAGACCAGUUUGUUCAUUCACCUUACAGCUUGAAACCCUUGUUUCAGGUCAGGCUUGUUUCUUCUACUGUAUUUUUACUGCCCCUUGAGUGACAUCAUUCAAAUGGUGAGUCUCUGAGAGAUGAUUCAUACCGAAAAAGAUCUAAUAAUUGUUACCAGUUAUUCAAAUCAGUGUUACUGAUUUCCCGCAUCCUCCCACUGGUCCCUUGAGCUCCCCCACCCACUCGUUUUUCCUAAUAAUUCCCAGGCUUUCUGGCUGUAUGCUCAGUGUGCCCUCCUCUGUGUUACUGUGCUAAGGUGUAAGUAUCUCGCCCUCCCCUGAGGAGCACUUAGGGCUUGGCUGCAGCAGCUUGUGUAGGCAGAUACAGGCUGAGCUGAACUGGCAAGGUAGAGGUAGAUUGACGAGCACUGGCCUCAGUAAAGCUUCAAACUGCUUUCACAGCACAUCUUCUGUUUCACUGCUGUGUUGGUAUUGUUGGCAGCCGCUGAGGUAGCUCGUUCAAAGCUAGAUGAGUAAUGUGUCUACAGGCUGUGGUGUUGGGGUGCACAGAACUAUGAACUGGCUUCUCCUGAGAAGUUCUGCAAGGUAUUGGGGUAAUUACAUGCUCUGUGCUAGCAGAGACUUGCACCAGUAGUGACCCUAUCAUGCUUCUGCUGUUUCACUUUGUAGUGAAGAAUGUUUCUUCUGUUUCACGAAUACGGAUGUAUAACUCAUGAAGCUUGUUUCUCCUGCACCAUGAAUUGAACUCUAUGCUGUGCAGUGAUUCAGAUCAUCAGUGUAAAAAGCAAACUGUUGUUGGGAGCAGCCAUGUAUUGUUCUUCAUCCAGCUCCUCAGUCUGGCCCCAUAUCCCCAUCACACUCUUUCUUCAUAUCCCUGCAUUCUGUCUUUUGAUUUUUCCCUGUUCAAGACCCUUCCACGUGCAGUUUGCCAUUUCUCUUGUGCAUUCACCUUCUUAUUCAUUCUUUCUGCUGUCAGGGGCACGCUUGUUUUUGCCCAGAGUUGCUUCUUCAGUUCCAUCAAGUUACAUCUUGAGUAUCAAAGGUGGAGAGGGGUAAAUCUGGAUCAGUUCUGGAUUCUCAGCACGAACACGCUGAUGUUCGUGUUUCUGCAUGCUGUGAAGCCAGCCCCAAAACAAGCCUGUGGCUCUUCUGGAGAGAAUUGCUUUAUGUGGAAGCAUCCUUUUGUGUUGCAUUGGAUUCAGCAUUGUGUUCAGGGCUGAAAUGCCCUGUGUGCUGUGCGUUGGCCUGGCAGGAUGAGCUCACACAAAAAGAGUGUCAGAGCUGCCCUUUCUGGAAAAGUAAGGGAUAGGAAUUUAUGGCUUUUGCAUCUGCAGUAAGGCUGGCACCACAGCCCUACUUCAUCAGCAGUAGGACAGCGGAGGGGAAAAAAAGCAUGGUGUAACCUUUGGUAUAUGAUUUAUUAUCACUUUGCAGCCCUCUGGAAAAUGAACUUUAGAAAAUUCUGUGCCGAUGGUAACGAUGAACACUGGGAAAACCCAGGAAUCAGCAAAUCCAUUGUGUUGCGCUGACAGAAAGAUACUGUUACAACACACUUUAGCUGCCAACUUGCUGCAGUCACUCAAUCCAUCAUGGUGGGCUGUUGGAUCACAAGGCAGUGAAACUCAGCCUGGCGUGUUAUUUUAGUCUUACAUGGACUGUGAGAUAAACGGGGCAUGAACCAGCCCCCUGGCAGGGGGUCGACCCCUAGCGCCCUCAUUAAAGUGCCAAUCAAAAAGAGUAAUGGAACAGGGAAUGGAAAGCUGGCUUCUUCAGCCUGUUACUGUGCACAGUCUGAGCAACUUGCACAAGCCAAGGGAAACAUUUCUCUUCUGAAGAGGAGCCAGACUUCCAGAAAUACCUCCUCUCUCCUUGUCUCUGUGUGCGCAAUGCUGAGACCCUCCUGUGCGUCCCGCCUGCAGUGGGAGCGUGUGGUGGGAGCCUCUUGCUUACCAUAGUGCAAGCAGUGGGAAGAAGCGUGGCCGAAUGUAACCCGGAAAGGAUGUAGAUGCUUCUUCUGUGGAAUACAGUGGUCAGUGAUUGGUUACAGCAUGGCUUCUCUUGCACAUUGCUCAGGUUUCAGCAAUUGCACAUGAAGGAUGGGCAGAAAACAGUAGAUGCAGAAGUCAUGCCAGUGUGCACGAGGUGCUGUGAAGCUGCAGUCAGACUGUGUUGUGGUAAAGAAGAGAAAGCAGCAGCAAGAUCCUGUGUUCUGACGGUGGCCUUGCACUUCACUGUGGGAUCUUAGUCAAGACGAGACAUGUGCGAACCCAGUGGCAGUGUGAGGACCCAGCCUUGUGUACACAUCUGGUGCUGCUUUACUCACGUUCUCCCACUCAGAAAAUCUGAUGAUAAAGACCUCAGGAAAGCAGUACAUCUCAGUCCUACAGAAACUGACCUGGCCUCUCUUAAUGAAAUGUAUUCUCUGCGAGGUAACUGUGGCGUUAGCUAGGAGGUAGAUUGGAACUGUCCUGAUUCCUUUUUAAGGCUACUGGCCUAUUGGACCAACUACCGGUAGGCUGGAAUAGAUUUGAACCAAUAAUAUGCAUGGGGAAUUGGUGAUGUUUUCAUUCUAGCCCCAUAUUUGAUAAAACAGCAUCAUCAUGUGUACUGAUAAAGCAAUUACCAUCAAGCCUGGAUUGUCUGUUUUUUCAGAGAAGACAACUCGGUGAUCCUUGUUUAUAACAACUACACUUAUAAGAAUGGAAGUGUGGGGAGUACGACCAUCACUUUUCAAGCUACCGGUAACCUGCAGUGUAUGCCCAGGCCCCUGCUUUUCAGAGCUAGGCACCAGAGCUGAAUUAGCUGUGAUUAGAAAAUACAGGAAUGUUCUUUAAGGCAGAGAAGCAGAGCAAGCAAAGUUUUCCCUAGGGGUGUCAUCAUCUGGUGCUUCAUGCCUUGUAUGAAUCAGCUUCUGAAAUUUCAAGACAAUGUACUUUCAUGGCUGCAACUCUCAUCUCCUCAAAUAAAACCGGGCUGAAAGAUACUUACUGCCUUUAUAAAGCUCAGACCUUCAUGUGAUUUAAUACCAUCAGCUCCAGACUGAUUCCUGCAGUUCACUCUGGCAGUAAGAAGAUGUUUCAAGAGUCCAGCUCUAAUUGUUCUUGAUUUUCACUGAGUCUUAACAUAAGCUGUUGUUCAUAAUAAAGGCUCUUUGCAUAGUUUAUUUCUUGACAUAGCUUUACUGCAAGAACUUCAGAUUUCACAUUGACCUGCAGAAAGAAAUGGGUAUGUUGUUAAAGAGGCACUGUUUUGUUUGUUUGUUUGUUUCACUGACUGAAGGAAUUUGCAUGGCUGUGCUUGAGGGAAUAAAAGUGCUUCAAUGGAAAUCUUGUUCUCAGUGAUGAGGAUGAGGUAUGGGAGAAAUGAGAGAGGGAAAGACAGGUACUGAGUUUUGGUAAUAUUGGGUGGGAACAGAAACAUCUUGCAAUAUCUGAAGUUAUUUCCUUUGCUUCCUCUCCUACCUUUCAUCUGGCUGUUCUGUUUGGAAUGUAAACUGACUUAGGUCAGGGGUGAGCUUGUAACCUUGUCUGUAAAACAGACCUGGAACAACUACUGUAAUGAAGCAGAAAACCCACUUGGUUGAGAGGUGAGAUACUGAUUAAUUUUUAUAUGUAUGACAUAAAUAGUCUUUCCAAUCUUUGGAAGAUGCUAUAUAUGUAGGGAAAACACUACAGUAAAUAGCACAGUGCUUAAUUACGUGUAUGUACUGUAUAAUUAAGAUUAUUUCUCAGACAAAGAAAUAUUUCCUAACUUAACUUCUGCAUUUGGGAAUAUUUUAGAUUUUACCUUCAACUUUUCUCAGGAGUUCAUGAAGCAAGUUCUACUGACCUAGAUCUUUUAGGCAGCAGUUAUUUGCACGGCUGGCAGAAUGAAAUUUUUAUUACUAAACAGUACAAGAAUCAAACAGGAGUAGAAAUAUUUUCAGUGUCAGUACGUGCAGUGAUUGAGGGGAAAAGAAACCCCUGUGUGAAAGAAACAGCAGGUGCUCGAUCCUUACCAUUGGUUUUUGUUGUGAUGGGCCUGGCAUUGCUACACCACUACUUGUAUUAACAGCUUUCUUUGUCAGCUGUACAUAUACUUUCCCGUGAUCUUUUGAAACAAGGCAGUGGUAGAGGUCAUCGUACUUCACUUCUAAGAAGAUGGCUUCACGGUCGGGGUAGUCGCCACUCUUGAGGAAAUAAACAGCUUUAGAUGAGAUGAGAACACAGUACUUCUCUAUGUUCUCCACUGCUAUGAAGCUGCAGAAAAGAGGAAAACAAAAACAAGAAAUGAAUCGUGUGAUAAAAAUACUCAGCUGUAACAAAUGGCUUAACCUUGUGCAUUUUCAGUGACCUUUGGAAGUCUUAAAGAAAACCAAAAGCAUAACACAUACAAUUCAUUUGUAUUUGUACUGUUCUGAACAUCAAGCUGGUCUGUACCCCUCGGCUGAAAAAGAGCAGGUUGUAAACCAACUAUGAGCACUGACUUCUAGCUGUGGAUGUUAAAAAGUUAUAUAAAAAUAGCUGUAAGACUUAGGAAGAUUAACUGCCUUGCAUUUGAACACUGAAAGACUUAAUUACACUGAAGCUUAAUUGUAACUUCAGUUGUUACUGAUAGGUGAAAAAGUUUGGAGAUAUUUAUGAUGAAAGCUUCUUUGUUGUUGUUUUUUAAACACGUCAACCUGUGCCUCCUGCCACACACCUCCCUUGCCUUUAAAAGCAAAAAACAAGUUUAACCUGCUGCCUGGAGCAGUAGCUAGAAAAGAGAAAUUAGCUGUUUAACACUGGGGUGAAAGGUUAAGCAGCAAGCAGGUUUCCCCAGAGAGAUUAGUCCAAGUGAUGAAUAGGGGAGGUAGAAAAGAGUGAAUUAAGAAGAUGGAGAAUUACGAUGGCUGAAAAGGUUGAUGUGUAAAAAUGAGUAGGAAGGAAUGCAAAAGUGAAAUAGAUAAUGCACACACAAACACUCCCUCAUUUGUGAUUUACUACUGAAACAAACUCCAUUUGUGAUGUUUUAUUUUACUUUAAGAAAAAAGCUGAAAUUUUCAGAAAAUUAUAUAUGGAGACACAACUAAGAAUGAAAGAGUGCUGAGUUUUGUAGGAAAGAACAAGCUUAACUGUCAAACUAGGAUUCUCCUGCUGUCAGGUGGAUUCAAAUUCACUAUUUUCUGAGCUGUUGUUUGUACUGCUCUGUCUGCUGUUGCCCUAAUAUGUUCAGCAACAUACUCCACUGUGUUUGAGAACACUGAAGAUUUUCAGUCCUACGAGCUUUUGUUAGAUUGAAAAGUUCACCAUCUCUACUGGCCAGUUCCAAACUUGCUGUCUGCUUUGCUACUUAGGUAACACUGCGUACAAACUGCUGUGAGCCACAUCCAAGUAAACCCUCAGCUGCAAGUGGAAUGUCAGCAAGCACAAAUAUUUUUAAAGCUCAGACCAUGCUUUAUUUUGUGAUAUAAAAGAAAAUUAUAGUAAUUAUUUUCUCUUAAUACUUGUCUGCAAGAUCCUGCUCAGUGCUGAAUUUGUCUUUUCUCUGCCCUAUGCCUCCUUGUCAUAUCAAUCAGCUAACACUGGUUUCCAUAGGAGUGAAAAAAGGCAUACGUGCUCAUUCAAGUUGUUAAAUUUUCAUUUUAAGUGGCGUGAAGAGUACAGUCAUUCUUAACCUGCUGGGUAGCCUGCAGAACAGUCUUGUUUCAGAGGACAGGCAAAUGAAAGUCCAGUGUUUUACAGAGAUCCUACGUGUGACUUGGGUCAUGCUUCCACUGGAAGAGCAACCAGAACAAACCUGCUGGUACACUGCCUUUGUUUCCUUUCCAGCAGGGAAAGAAACUAAAAAAAGUAAUCAUGAGAAAUCCCAACUAUACUGUACUACCAUUCCUUGCAACUGUCAGGGUAAAGCUGAGUACACCCACAAAAGCAGAACUGUUGGGUUUUUUCCCACAUAUAUGGGAUUCCAACGCUCUGUAUGGAGAUAUCCAUGGAGAGAACUGAACCAGCAAAAGCUAUGGUGAAGUUAAGUGGGAACAACUGAGAAAUCAGACUACAGGGCUGUAUUUUUUCCCCCAUAAGAAGAUUAUAUCUGAUUUUUCAUGGUGUCAUAUAUGUACUUUGAGGAAUGGAAACAAGGAUGUAUUUUAUGGCGAAGCACUGAAACAUCAGCUAGUUUGUAGUUAAGGCUCUACAUUUUGUUCUAACUUUGAGUCAUGGAUCAUUACCCAUUUUCCCUUGCCAACUGUUAUUUUCUUCUCAGUGCCUAGUUCUCAAAAUGGGUAUUUAACCUUUUAAGAUACGACUGCAAGAUAUUACUUCUUCAGUUGAUUUAUGUAAGUAAAAAGACCCAACAAACUUGCAUUGACACUAUUUUAAAAAUUUCAAAUUAAUAAAAUGGAAGAUUAAAUGAAACAUGAUCCAGUAGAACAAAGCAGAAGCAAGCAGACCUCUGGAGAAUUUGUGGGUUUUUAACAACAUCAGGAAGUAAUUACACAAUAUUUUCCAGAAGUGAAACAGUGAGUCUAACUGGAAAAAAAUGUGGAAACAUUUAGUUAGAACAGUAGAGCAAGGUAUUAAACCCCCUUUUAUGGAUUUAACUCUGGAAGAAAAUAUGCAAAUAAUCACAUCUCUAAAUAUGUUUCUGGUUAUGAUACUAGGAUAAAAGUCAGAGGCAUAAUUUUGUACUUAUUUUCCACGACAAGAAACACUGUUUUCUUGUUGUGUGAUGCUCCUAAUGGUGGAAGUCACAGUGAAUGGACAGCGUGACUGAAAUGACAACAGCCCACAGUUCUACUUAUGGGGUACACUUGUCAAAAGCUGACACUGUUUGGUUUUUUAAUCACAAAUUGUUCUCUUCUAAUUCUCCCCGCUAAAGAGCCAGACUGGAUACACCAUUUAAGUCCUUUCCAUAAGAUGUAAACAGGAUAACAUGACUGUAAGAUCACAGGCCACAGGUGGCAACUACAAACUUCCUCACAGGCGCACAGCUUUCAGUGCCUCAUUAUUGAGGCUGGUGGAGUUGAGACAGUGCAAUGAAUGGGGGAACUCCCCCUGAGGGCUUCACCACGAGGUGCCAUUUUUUCCUUUAGGCACUAAAACCAAUUCAAACUAACUGCUCUGCCUUGGCAAAUGCUCUGAUGUGAAGUAUAUACUCACAGCAAAUACUCUGAUAGUGCAAAACAUAGUAUCUUAUGCUCUCUACUGAAAACAGCUAUUCAGGUAACAGAGAGAGAAAUUGGGUUAAGUAAUGAAUUAUGCCAUGAGAAUCUAACCCAGCAAACUGACACCUGAAGAAACAAACAGAUAUCUCCCUGUGCAUUUACUCAGUAUGGAUUUUUUGUACUGCCUAACCUGACCAAAAAACCUGCUGUUUUCACUUGCUUUCAUGCACCCAUUUCCAUACCAUUCAAACAUAAGGUGCAUCAUCAGUUUUGCAUGUAUUCCCCAUUCAAAUUAUUCCACACUGACUUUUCUAGAGAAAAAAAAUGUUUAUAGUGCGGGUUUUGUUCGUUUACUGCUAACAGCCUUAGCUUAGGAAUAAUGUAACGUACCACAGGCAUCUGACUAGCUUCUCUCACAUCUAAACCAGAGCAACCUCAGCGUGCACCCACCUAACAGUGUGAUUCACAUACUGCUGCCAUGGAGCCUCCAGCUGCUCUGCUAGGCCUUGGGCUGUGAGAAACAGCAGACGACAACAGCGACAGAUAAAGGCACAGACAGCAGUUCUGUCUGCAUGAAGAAUGUGCCUCUGUGCGAGGAAUACAGGUUCCAGCAGCAUGUGUUUAUGGACAGGAGGGUUUAGCCUGCAUUGGAUGUACAUGUUAUAUCCUAAUUACUUAGAAGCUGAAAUUUCAUCUUUUAUGACGGUAGGACACUGGAAUCAUUAAAAGGCACGAGAGAUGAGAAGCCAUAGCUCCAAUUCUUCUGGAAAGUGCAUGCCAUGUGAGAUCAACGACAGUUAGCAACAAGUAAAGCACAGGACCCUAUGGCACCUGCAAUGGCACUGGUAUAGAGUCAGUGGAAGGGCUGCUGUGGAAGCCAGCAGGAGCUUGGGGCGUGCUGUGCUUCAGUACCAAGAGAAAACAGCUGAAAUGGCCUUGUACGUGCAUGGGAAAUAAAUAAUGUUCAUCUCUUUCCCAAAGACACAAAGAUACAAUGGUAGCAAAUGGAACUACUUGCAGUAACCACGUAAAUCAGUACUUACAACUCAUCCUGGAUGUUGUCAGUCAGUUUGAACAGCUGUUCCUGUCCUUCUGCUUCCCUUGCUGAGUAGCGGGGCAGGAGCCCUUGGGGUCCUCUGCAGCAGCGUGGCUUUCUCACUCUCUCUGCUUGUGUCCUGGGGCCGCUCAGAGUCGCGGUGUCCCUCACUGCCUGCGCGGUUUCUGAUGCAAAAUCCAGAGCUCCAGCGACAGGUUUGGU
rnacentral:lncRNA from 1 species